UCGCAGGAACUCGGAUGGAAUCCGGAAGGUGGUCGACCAUCGUAGAAACUUGGAUGGAGUCUGGUUACUGUAGAAAUCUCAUCGUCGGAGAAGCUCGGAUAUUGACGAAGUUCGGAAGAAGUUCGGAAUAGGGUCGUCUGCGGUCGGAAGGAGUUUGGAAGGGAUGUGGAGUAUAGUUGAUCACUGUAGAAGGUCGGCUGAUAGUGAAGCCCAGAGAGCCUUUGGAGCGGCCCGAUAGAUGAAUGGGGAAGCUCAUUGUCGGAGAAUUCCGGAUGGUCGAGGGAGUACAGAAAGACGUCACA
rnacentral:lncRNA from 1 species